CUUUUCCCAGGAUUGGGACUGCGCCCGCCUAAAUUCGGCCAGGUGGCUGGAGUCCUGGAGGCGGUGGGUGUGAUACUACCCGCACCUCCCGCCCAGCCGCGGGCCCUGAGGGUUAAUAUGAAACAUAGAAGCUGCCUCUACUCCUCCAAGACUGUGAAUUUGAAGUGUGGAAGCUGCAGACAACCUCAGUGAUUCAGGAAGAGGAACUGUUUUUAUGAGAAGGUGACUGCCCUAAACCUCCUCUUCUGACCUCAAGCCCUGAAUUUCCUAAAUUCAUAAUUCACCAAGAAGAUUGAGAUCAUUAAUUAUGGGCUCUCUUUGUCUCCUCUGCACACCUUUCUGUGUCAUCAGCAAUCUUUUCACUUGCACCAGUUACAGGGGAUGAAGUGGCUCAUUUUGGUAAGAUUUAACAUUUCAGUGUGUACCUUUGAUCCAUUCCUCUGCCAUUUCCUCUAGGAAUUUGACCCAUGCAUGCAUCUCUGUAUCACCGGCCCCCAUCACAAUAUCUUGUACAUAGUAGGUAACUAAUAAAUAUUUGAGAAUUUAAAUAGCA
rnacentral:lncRNA from 1 species